rnacentral:rRNA from 1 species
GUGGGGAAUCUUAGACAAUGGGCGCAAGCCUGAUCUAGCCAUGCCGCGUGAGCGAUGAAGGCCUUAGGGUUGUAAAGCUCUUUCGUGGGGGAAGAUAAUGGCUGUACCCCAAGAAGAAGCCCCGGCUAACUCCGUGCCAGCAGCCGCGGUAAUACGGAGGGGGCUAGCGUUGUUCGGAAUUACUGGGCGUAAAGCGCACGUAGGCGGACUGGAAAGUCAGGGGUGAAAUCCCGGGGCUCAACCCCGGAACUGCCUUUGAAACUCCCAGUCUUGAGUUCGAGAGAGGUGAGUGGAAUUCCGAGUGUAGAGGUGAAAUUCGUAGAUAUUCGGAGGAACACCAGUGGCGAAGGCGGCUCACUGGCUCGAUACUGACGCUGAGGUGCGAAAGCGUGGGGAGCAAACAGGAUUAGAUACCCCUGUAGUCC